rnacentral:rRNA from 1 species
CCGAUGAGAUGGAAACGGAAAGAGGUACCGAAAAUGCUUGUAUUCAGCUGCCUUUUUGCGUGUGUUUUGCCUUUGCGAUCCCGCUAGGGUUGUAGGGUGAGACUUCAUGCGGACUGGCAGUGCAUUUGCGAGUAAUGUGCGCUGCGGCGUGUGGUUAGGUCAUCUGAUGUGCGAUUAGAGGACUCCUUUUGGAGAAACCUGGUUGCGCGGAUGUUGAUUCGGACUGCAUGUUGAGGAAYUGGCCAACGUGCGUGGUGGCUGCUAGGGUCGUUCCUUGCGUAAAUCGCAUGCGAUUUGCGCUUGUGGAUAGCCUUGGUAGUCGCUUCGUGAACAGUUCCGACCGCAGUGUCAAAGGUGCUCAUCUUUCCGACCCGUCUUGAAACACGGACCAAGGAGUAUACAGUAUGUGCGAGUCAUUGAGUUCUAAACUCAAAGGCGUAAUGAAAGUAAAGAUUCCGUAAGGUUUUGAUAUGCGAUCUUGGUUGCCUCGGUAGCUGAGAGCAGCAUAGCCCCGUCUUGACCGCUUGCGGUAGGGCGGAGGUAGAGCGCAUGCUAUGUGACCCGAAAGAUGGUGAACUAUGCUUGAACAGGAUGAAGCCAGAGGAAACUCUGGUGGAAGUCCGAAGCGAUUCUGACGUGCAAAUCGAUCGUCUGAUUUGAGUAUAGGGGCGAAAGACUAAUCGAACCAUCUAGUA